rnacentral:lncRNA from 1 species
GAAGAGAUAUUGCUUUUGACAUUUCAUUUUGAAGCUUUUCUUCCAUAGAAGGUGUCAAUCUUGUAAGCCACUGACUAGAAUCAACACGCCUUGUAUAAUUCAGUUCCAUCAUCCUCCCUCGCAAGGCAUCAACCAUCUGAGUAAUUGGAAACUCACUGACAUCGGAUACCCAAUCACGAAAAAGUUGUCCAAAGUCAGAAGUCAUGUGGUCAUACCUUGCCCCACCAAAAAAGGCGUUUGCCCAGUGAUCAGGCUCACUUCGUACGACCCAACUGUAAGCAUCAGGUGAGAUGGCCUUUAUGUUCUCAACACACUGCUCAAAAUCCUCCAGUUUUGGAGCAUAAGCAGCAGCAUAUAAAUCUUGGAUCAAAAGACGCCUUGCUUCAUGUGAAAACUUCCCAUGCAGAUCCUUAUAUAAAUUCUCACCGAGGUACCGAAGACAAUAACCAUGAUAGCAAUCUUUGCUGAAUAUAUCACUCAAUGACUCAUUGAUACCAUUCUGGAAAGCAGAAACAAAUGUUAUUGGUCGAGAGGUUGAGACAGCAGAUUUAAGUUCAGAAAGAAACCAAUGCCAGUUGUCAUCUGUCUCCUCAUCUACAACUGCAAAAGCUACUGGAAAGACACCAUCAUUCCCAUCCACACCCACGGCAGCCAAUAGGGUUCCUUGAUAUUUUGCAUAGAGAACAGUGCUAUCAAGGAAAAGAAGCGGGCGACAGCCCUGUUGAAAGCCAUAUAUUGAAGCAUGAAAUGAGACAA